CUGAGACACAGGCACAGAGAGUGCUCUGGCUUAGAUAUUCAACAUUCAUUCCCAAGGGUCGUCUGUUUAAGGUGUUGCCCCAUGCUUAUAGCGCUGCAGGGGCAGAGGUUAGGAGGUUCCAGGCAAAGGUCACUGGGAUAUUCACAUUCCAGCCUUUUUGUCUCAUCUUGCUUCCCAGCCACUACAAAGUGAGCAGGCUUCCUUAGCCACGCCCACCAUGCUGCCGGAGGCCUGGAGCACUGGGCUGAGUAACCACAGACUGAACCCACCACCCAAGAUAAACCUUUUCCACCGUUAAGAAGCCUUAGCGCAGGUGUUUUGUUACAAUAUGAGAAGCUGACUGAUACAAUCAGACACACAUUGAGGCUCAGAUGCCAGAGGCGUACUCUCUCACAGCUCCAGAUGCACAGCCAGAGUCACACACUGACAAAGAGUAGGUAGAAACUCACACCUUCAAAAUACACAAGUGCACGUGCACAUGCACAUGCAUACGCACACGCACACGCACGCACACAGAACAAAGUAAGCGAUAGGAGGCUUUUCCCAUCUUUGUUAGUGUUCUGCUCUGCAGAAAGAGCCCUGAAACGUGGGACGUAACAGGCUAAGGUAGGAUGGAGGAGGGCUUGGCGUGAGGUCGGGUGCAAGGAGAGAAAAGUAAAGAAGACAGGCUUGGAGGUGGGGCUUGUUGGAGCCAGUGUUUGCUGCAGUAAAAAGAAAUACAUCUGGAUCACCUUGGCCGAACCUCAGGGUAUUGAGAAGGAUCCACUUGGUUGGGAAACUAACCAGGCAAAGGAGAAACUUGAACACCACUGUCCCUCUUCUGCCAAGAUGUCGGUUGACCCUCUCUUCAUAAUAAGAGUUCUGAAGUCGUGAAAUGGAUUCCAUUUCUUUUAGGACUUUACUAACGUGGGCAUCAGCCUAGAACGGCAGAUGCUCUGACUGAGCAAGGAGGAGAGUGGUUGAAGCUCUAACCCACGACUCUUUCUCCUUCUCUUCAUUGUCUGAGUAACCAGGACGGCACAGUCUUACACACCAUCUGGGGUUCCUACCCUCUGAUGUUAGCUGUCUUUCUCAAUAAAGGCCCUGGUCAGUUUAUCUCUA